rnacentral:rRNA from 1 species
UACGUAGGGACCAAGCGUUGUCCGGAAUCAUUGGGCGUAAAGCGCGUGUAGGCGGCUCGGUAAGUCCGCUCUGAAAGUCCAGGGCUCAACCCUGGGAUGCGGGUGGAUACUGCCGGGCUCGAGUCCGGAAGAGGCGAGUGGAAUUCCCGGUGUAGCGGUGAAAUGCGCAGAUAUCGGGAGGAACACCAAUGGCGAAGGCAGCUCGCUGGGACGUGACUGACGCUGAGACGCGAAAGCGUGGGGAGCGAACAGG